rnacentral:rRNA from 1 species
UACGUAGGAUGCAAGCGUUGUCCGGAAUUAUUGGGCGUAAAGAGCGAGCAGGCGGUUUUGAAAGUUGGACGUGAAAUUUUAGGGCUUAACCCUAAAGGGUCGUCCAAAACUCCCAGACUAGAGUGCAGGAGAGGAAAGCGGAAUUCCCGGUGUAGUGGUGAAAUGCGUAGAUAUCGGGAGGAACACCAGAGGCGAAGGCGGCUUUCUGGCCUGUAACUGACGCUGAGGCGCGAAGGCUGGGGUAGCGAACAGG